GUAAUACGGAGGGUGCAAGCGUUAUCCGGAUUCACUGGGUUUAAAGGGUGCGUAGGCGGGCUGUUAAGUCAGUGGUGAAAUCUUUGGGCUUAACCCGAAAACUGCCAUUGAUACUAUCAGUCUUGAAUAUUGUGGAGGUCUGCGGAAUAUGUCAUGUAGCGGUGAAAUGCUUAGAUAUGACAUAGAACACCAAUUGCGAAGGCAGCAGGCUACGCAUAUAUUGACGCUGAGGCACGAAA
rnacentral:rRNA from 1 species